UAAGAUGUCAAAAUGCUGGUCCACAC
rnacentral:piRNA from 1 species